UCUACGCUGCCACGUCAUCACACCUCGUCCAGCCACGUUUCUCCGGUGCACUUUCUGGAAGUCCGUCGGCGGCACUAUAAAUACCGAUGAUCUCAACCUUCCCCACGUCUCUGUUCCGAAGCUCAGAAUUGCGCUGCAAAAAGGAGGAAGGAGUGAGGAAUGAGGAGAGUCUGUUCAAUUUCUUCGAUCUUCUCGCUAGGGUUCGCUCGCCGGUCCUCUGCAUUUCGGAGCAUUGUGCUUCGCUUUUACUCCGAUCAUCAACCUCCUCGCGCUUCUCACUCCCGGUGUCCAGGUCCAUUUACGCAGUAUAGGAAUCUUGUUGAGCAAGGAAAGCUUCGCCAUGAUCCUUAUCAGGAAAAGGUGGCUUCAGAGCUGGAAAAUUUGCUUGGGAGAUUGGAGCAACAUGAGAAAGAUAUGGAAGAAUAUUAUGUAGAACUAGCAACAUGGGAGGAGAACAGGGAGAAAGAACGCCGCAGGCUUUUAAUGGAAGAAGCUGAGGUCAAACAGCAGGCAGGUAUAUGGACAUCAGUAAACAAGCAUCGAAAUAGACUUCUUCAAAGAUUAAUGUCCUGGAGGACACCUAAACAUAUAGAACCUGGAGUUGGAAAAUGGGUUUCGUAUCUUAAUCGGGAGAAGAAAUUGGAUUCACGCGUUGGUCGCCGUCCAACUAUUCCUCCAGCCCCAAAAGGACUGUAUCUGUAUGGAAAUGUAGGAAGUGGGAAGACAAUGCUUAUGGACAUGUUUUACAGUGCCACUCAAGGAAUUGUUAAACAUCGAAGAAGGUUUCACUUCCACAAGGCUAUGCUUGAAAUACAUGAGCACAUGCAUAACAUAUGGAAGAAACAACAGGAGGAUAAAUCUUUGCAGUCUGGUAUUUCUAGUUGGAUCAUGAAUCUUCCUUUUGAUAUUAAUGUUAAAGAAUGGAUAGCUGCUGAAGAAAGAUACAAGCAAGAAGUACAGAUGAAAAACAUACUCCCUGCUGUAGCAGAUAAGUUUCUUCUUGAUGAGCAAGCAGAUAAAAAAGGUGCUAGAAUCCUAUGCUUUGAUGAGAUACAGACUGUCGAUGUGUUCGCUAUUGUGGCCUUAUCUGGAAUUCUGAGCAGAUUGUUGACCACAGGAACUGUUCUUGUGGCCACCAGUAACCGAGCUCCAAAGGACUUGAAUCAGGAUGGGAUGCAGCGGGAGAUCUUUCUCAAGCUUGUUACCAAAUUGGAUAAGCACUGUGAGAAUGUCCUGAUAGGAAGUGAGAUUGAUUAUCGUCGUUUUAUAGCACAAAGAUCAAUAGACAGAGUUCACUACUUCUGGCCUCUGGACAGCGUUGUGAUUAAGGAGUUUGAGGAUGUGUGGAAUGAGGUUACAAGACAAUCUGGUGAAAAGAUAACCUCUGAAACUAUCCCUGUCAUGUUUGGGAGAACAUUGGAAGUUCCUCAAAGCUGCAAUGGGGUGGCACGGUUUACAUUUGACUAUUUAUGUGGUCGACCGGUUGGGGCUGCAGACUACAUUGCAAUAGCUAACAACUACCAUACGGUUUUUAUCUCUGAUAUUCCUUUAAUGAGCAUGCGUAUUCGUGACAAGGCCCGGAGAUUUAUUACUCUCAUUGAUGAGCUGUACAAUCAUCAUUGUGCACUUUUUUGUACUGCAGCCACUUCUAUUGAUGACCUAUUUCAGGGAACUGAAGAGGGAGCACUUUUUGAUUUGGAGAGUUUCCAAUUUGAAACAGAGAUAGAAGGUGGAAAACUCCGUCGUGAUGUUUUAGCUGGGGGAGAUGUGAGUUCAGGAGGUGCACCUGCUGGUAUUAUAUCUAUGCUAUCAGGUCAUGAAGAGAUGUUUGCCUUCCGUCGAGCUACAGUAAAAUAACUGAACAUAUUGAUAUUGAUCUCGCCAUUGGAGUUUCUUGAGAUGGCACUCAGAACUUUGUUGGAAAGAAGCAGACCGUGGACUGCUUCAACGAAGUCAACAAUUUGUGAAACAUCAAUCCAUCAGGCCACUAAUGCAUGGUGUGCUGUAUCUUCAACCACUGCAGUGUUGACAGCAACCUUUCCACCUCCAGUAGCUUUAGCUGCUAUAAGCACUGCACCUUGUUGCUUCAUCAAGACUAUAAACAGAAGCAAACAUGAUCAAGAUUUUGUCAGCAAUUAUUCUGGCAAGGUUUUGUGCACAAUACCAACUUGUUAUGUGGCUAGAAAACAUGGGUCUCUCUCUCUCUCUCAAUUGGCACAUGCAACUGCCAUGAGUUCUUAACCUGUUUCAUUCUCUCCCGUGUUAUGUCAUUGGACCCUUUGUGUGCUUCACUGAUUGAAUCCUGCCAAAAGAAGUCUUCGGAGGCUCAGGCCAACUAGAAGAGGUCCGCACACCGAAGUUCUACUUUUCAUUUCUGGUCUUGCAUUGCGGGGGCAUCAGAUUUCUUUAAGAAAGCUUCCGUUGAAAGUUUAUGAUGCUGGAUGAGGCUUUGUAGAUGUGAGGAAUGUGCCCAUUUCAACGUGUUCCAAAAAUUGACUACAUCUGAAUAGAUUACAUCAUGUGCUUUGGGUGUGCAACUAUAUCUCUUUCUCCUUCACAUUCCUCAAAAAGCAGGGGCUGAAAGGUGGCCAAAGGAGGUCUUCCACUAAAGUACUACGGUGGUGCACUAUAAACCCUUUUCUGUCUAGUUUUCUAUAGUGAAAAUGAUUUCCAAUAAUUCAUCUGAUAAUUGGGUUUAUGAUAGUUUAUUUGGCUGAAGCAAAUAUAUAUUUCUCCCAAGAUAACCUGGGAAACGGUCAUUUGUUGAACGGCCACCUUUGAGACAUCCAUCUUUAAUGUCACUAAGAACAUGAUAAUGAGCAAUAACCGAAGACUUAUCUCAAUGCUAUGUGACUCAGUAAGUACAAACUAUGUGCUCCCAUUGUUGCUUUUGCGGCUGUUGAACUUAUCUUCUAGGAGGAACUUUUAGUGGUUGUUUAGUUGUGGAAAAUGUUUUUUGAUUUUUUAUCUCUAAUUGUUUGCAAAAUCUCUAGUUUUGAUUUCACAGAAAAUUUGAACAACAUGCUCAAAGACGUUUGUAAAAUUAAUGCCAAUCUAUAAAAUUGGAAUAUAUGGUCGAGAGGGAGAGAAGUUUUUUCUUUUUUUUGGUGUAACUUGGUGUAAGAGAAUGAGAUAGAGAUGAUUUGGGAAAAAAUUUGUGAAGAGCCUUUAUUGCUGUUCAGUUGUGGAAAACUGCCCUAGUUUUUCAGAAAAUUACUCUAUGAAAAAUGGAAAAUUAAAAACUUUGUUCAAAUACGAAAAUGGACAAUGGAGAUUUGGAAAAUGCAAUUUUCCAAAAUUGAACUAAACUGGUGUUGUUGCUGGAAAUAUAACAAUUAAAAUUUAUAAAGCAGGAAGUCCAAGCUGAGGUAGAGUCAGGCAAGGAACUUGAUCUGCACGGUGGGAGGAAGUGGCCAGCUACUUGUCUGAGGGAGAGUUCACGCUGUUGUCUGGGGGAUCUCGUGCCUCUAUCCAGGGGAGAGAUCACUUGGCCUGAGUCUCUCGAAUAAACAGGUGUUGGACUUGAACAAGCAGCAUGAGACUAAAGUGGGAGAGUGAAAGGUGACUGCCUGGGAGAAGCUCCGCUGUCUGGGAGAGUGUUGUUGCAAGGUAGUACACAGCCAGAAGGCACGUGAGGAUUCCUCCUACGUGUGCCCUUCGAUGGUUAAGUCAGAAAAAGUCAUGUUGGUGCCAUGAACAAGUAGGUAAAAGCUGUCUGGGAGGAGUAUAGGUCGUUCCUUCGGAAGGAUAAGCAGGUUAAAUAUGCUUUAGGUGCGAGAGAAUAUGAAAGGUCAAAAAAAUAUCCUUAAAACGAUGAGUUGGGGGGUAUUUAUACCCCCCUAACUAUUGGUGGUGGGACAUGUGUCAUGCAUGCACAAGGGUUGCAAGGUGUUUUCCUAAGUUAGGCACGGAUUAGGUCUUGUGAAAAACCUCCCGGAGGAGUAGUCCUCCAAGAGAAAGAAUGCCUUGUGAGGCGAGCUGUCACUUCAUGGAGCAAUGCAAGGUAAUGAGUUGUCCGGGAGAAAGUCUCCCUUGUUGUUCUAGAGUGGCUCGACUAGGUGUACUGUUUUGAUACCAGAGUUUAUGCUUAGUAUUUGUUCGGGGGAACAUUAUACAUCCGGGAGAACAUCUUCUUCUUGGAGGAUGUUCCUCUCUGAGAGAAUUCUUCAUUGAUGUUCUCCGAGAGAACUUCUCUCAGUAGAAAGGCACUUUCUUUGGGAAAGCGACACUUGUCCCUCGAAGGUUAGGUUACAACAAUUGGGAAAACUACUAAAAUGAGUUUUCUAAGAUUUCCUUGUUAAUUUGGAGAUUUGGAACGUGCAGUUUUCCAAAAAGAAAAUCACAUAUCAUCUUCAUCUCAUUCUCUAAUCAAGUUACAUAAAAAGAGAAAUUAAAACAUGUCUCUUUUUUUUAACAUAUAUUCAAAUUUUCUAGCUUGGAAAUUUAUUUCUUUAUUUCUAACAUUUGUACGUGUUCUUUAAAGUUUCUAUAGAAAAUGAAAACUAGAGAUUUUAUAAAAAAAUGGUGUUAGAAAAGUGGAAAUCAUUUUCCACAAUUAAACAGCCUUUUCUUUUCUGAAUCUCCAACUUAGCAAGGAAAAUUUGGAAAACUCAUUUUAGGAAUUUAAAAAAUGAUUAUAGCUUGUCAAUACUUUUAGACCCUGUGCCUUGCAAAACUCUAAAAAACAUCUUACUGUCUAAUGUAGAUUACUAUUAGUGCUCCUGCUUUCUUCACAUCUGUUACAGCUCAAGGGGGAUCCAAGAGAAAUAUUCUCAUAUUUGUUUGUCAAUGUCUGAGUUAAGAUUAUGCCACUAUAAAAUUGUGCCCGAAUGAAUGGAUAAAUCAUUCUAGAUGCCACUUGAUCAAGGAUAAAUCAUUCUAGAUGCUUAUUUGAUGUGACAAUACAGCUAGUAGGUUUUUUUUUUUUUUUUUUUUAUCAAUAUGGUGAUUUUUGAGUAGACCCUAACCACUUGAUCAAUAUGGUGAUUUUUUUUAUCACUAAAAAAAAAAAAAAUUGCUGACACAAGGGGCACUAACGAGCUACCAAGAGACUUGGAAUACCCACUUAGGGCCAAUAGUGUCUGCACCCGUUGACCCCACUUAGGGACAACUCACUAGUCAUUUAAGCACGUUUGGUAAAAUCUCUACUAAGGAUUUCUUUAGUAGCAUUAUGGGCCCCCUCCCAUUAAACUCGUGAUCCGUAUAAUUGAGGAGCCAACUAGGCACAAGGGGCAGAGGCAGGCUGCCACUCAAACUUGAAACCUUUCCCCAGGGAUGUCAACACCCUUGCCACUUGGUCUACUACCCUGUAGCUGAUAUGGUGACUUUAUGUGGGUAGUCCCAUGGCAGGAAUUAAUGUUCAAGUGCUUUAAUUGGGAAAUUUUCCCUAGCCAUGAGCAUGAAACAACUUUUUCAGUUAGAUGCACACCUGUGUAAGAUUAUGGAUUAAAUCCUUGGAUUCUUCUUUGAUUUGAGACCAUUAAAAGUUUGUUUCAUUAAUGUGUUCAGCUCUCUGUUUCAUUAAGAGAUUUCAAGUUAAAUCAUUCAUCAGCCCCCACCCCAACACCUUCCCCAUGUUUAGGCUUCCGAUCUUCCUCCAAGUGGUAGCUCCAUAGCUUCUUUUCCAUCAACCCCACAUGAUACCAAACAAAAUGCCCUUGAAAGUUCGGUUUCUUCCAUGGUGGUGGGUGACAAUUGUUGACUUCCCCAUCCAUUAAAUGCUUCAAAGUCACAUCUAGCUGAAGCAGCUACAAUUUUUUUUUUCUCCUAUGAGAAUUUUUUGAGUGUUAAUUAAGUAAACCCGUCAGCUACGUACAACACCUACAAAUCAUACGCACGAGUUAAAUACACAAAAACUUGUGUGUAGGCUAGUCUUCAUAGAAGUUUAAACGUCAAUAACAAAAGAAACUACUAUAACUUCUUACUGCCAAGUCAACCGAGGUCUUUUCUUUCAGUCAUUGGUUCCUUUUCACAAAAUUUUUAACCCUCAUUGCUGGCAUUGGAUUAUCCAUCACUGAUGGGCCUACAUGGCAUCUAGAUGGGUAUUUUUUGCUCUUUUUUUGUGUUUUAUUUUGUACUAUACCAGCAAAAUUUGAUUAGCUGGCAUUGUUUGGUGAGGGGAAGCAGAUAAGAGUAAAGUUGGAGGAAAUUUUCAUGGCCGAACAUCUAUGAGGUAAUGACAAAGGCCUAACUUUCAGAGAGGAACAUGGAAGGCAUGCUUCUUGUGGUAGGUGGCACCUACUAGAUCAAAUAUGCAUGAAGAUUCAUGCUCUCUCCCCUUUCCGUCAAAGAUAGAUCUGCCUUGUAUAAAUUAUUUGUUUAUGAUACAGUUAACAAGAAUUUAUCACCAAAACCUAGCGAACAGCCGAAGAUUCCCAUCCCAGCCUCGCUGUUUGCAGGAGCUUGUGCCGGAGUUAGCUCUACUCUGGUUACAUAUCCUCUUGAGUUACUCAAAACACG